CAAUAGCGUAUAUUAAAGUUGUUGCAGUUAAAAAGCUCGUAGUUGGAUUUCUGGUUGAAGCGACCGGUCGGGCGUUGAUUCGUCUGCACUGGAGUCGGUUUUGGCCAUCCUCUAGGAAAGUGCGUCUGGUAUUAAGUUAUCGGGCGUAUGAUCCUGGUCUUUUACUGUGAAAAAAUUAGAGUGUUUAAAGCAGGCCUUCGCCUUGAAUACAUUAGCAUGGAAUAAUAAGAUAGGACUUUGGUCUAUUUUGUUGGUUUGCAGACCGAAGUAAUGAUUAAUAGGGAUAGUUGGGGGUAUUUAUAUUCCGAUGUCAGAUGUGAAAUUCUUAGAUUUUCGGAAGAUAAACUUAUGCGAAAGCAUUUACCAAGGAUGUUUUCAUUAA
rnacentral:rRNA from 1 species